CAAGCGUGGGAGAGCCGCCAGCUCCGGCGCCGGCCGCGCGUCCUCAGGAGGCAGCCGCGGGGCGGGACCGAGCGGGCAGGCGCAGCCAUGUUCUGGGCCCCCGACAUGUCUGAGCGCCCGGACGAUGCGGCGGGAGGCCGCUCCCGCUGGGCGGCCGUCAAAAUCUGGGCAGGCGACGCGGGGGCUCCGCGGCCUCACUUGCAGGCCCGUCACGGCUGCUCUGCGCUGACCGCGGGGCGGGUCCCCGCGGGGCCACUUCCCAAAGUUCCAGCCCGAUGGGGGUUUGCCUCAGCGCCGGCGUGCAGAGAGCCAAGACCAGCUCCGAGAGCUCAGGGGAGGGCUUCGCAUCCGUUCAAGUGUGCAGCCCGAGAGGCUGGAACAAUUAAAAGCCUCGCGUCCCCAGAUGGAAGCUGAGGAACAGGCAUUACCUUCAGCCGCAGGGUCUCGUUUGCCACUUGAACUUUUCACUUGCUCAGCACCUAACCCAGACCCCCAACAGGUCUCUUUUGAUGGACGAUUGAGUUUAAUAAUCCUUGUCAAGCCAGACACAGCAGACGUUGAACCUAAAUCGUCGCGCACCCAGAUCCACUAGAGGGCAGGUCUACACCUGCUGAGUUCCAGCGCAUCCUGCAAAGAACUCAGGAGACAGGAAAAGAAACGUCCUUCCUUAUAUGCUUAGAGAUGAGGAAAUGAAGGAUGAGGCACAGAAGGCUUGAGAAACUUGCUGAAGGUUCCAUAGCUCAGAAGCCUGGUGGAUCCAGGAUUCAAACCAGAGUCCAAGCUCUUAUCCUCUACAUUCUUCUGCCGUUCUCAACUCUGUCGACGGAACCUCAGUUUGAGCUCUGGUCAACUCUGCUUUUUCCUGUCCAGACCUAUCCUUGGGAUCAAAUAAUAGAGAAGAACACAUCUCCAGUUCACUGUAGACAUCACUGAACAGGUUGGAACUAUUUUCUUUUA